CCACAUCACUUUUUCUCUGAAACGUGUCGAUCAUUCCUUCCUGCAUCUUCACCGGUGGCACCCACCUCCUCAUCUACUCACACGCAUAUCCGUGCAAGAGGUCAUCACGAUCGUCGUCCACGCCAAACCUUUCCCGUCUAUCAUAGCAAUGGAUCUACCUGAUCCUCACGGCCGAGGACGUCACCAUGGAAGACUUAUGUUGCGCCGUAUGUGACUUUCACUACUUCAGCUUUCCCUCCAAGUUGUUGCAGAUCGGUGAUUAUGGAAUUGGAAGAUAGUUGAAGCUUGCAGUCUGUAAUAUCAGACUAUAGUGCCAACCUUUCUUUAGGUACUGGGACUUCAGAGGAUAGACCUAAAUCUUGUUUUGGAACUCAAAGAUCAAAUAGCCUGUUCCCUGAGGGCAAUUUAAUGUCUCUUGAGGGAAAUGUAAUUGAAAUUCAUAACAACCUAAAUCUGGUUUCAAUAGUUCAUGCUCACAACCAAUUGUAUUUUUUUUCUUAUUUUUUUAUUAAUUUCUCCCAAGAGAUGCGAAAGGGAAGAGGAAGGGCGGUGUCGGUGGUCACGGUGGCGGCUGCAGUUGUUGCGGCGGCCAACAAAUCCCUUUUAAAGGAGCCUCGGUACCGGGGGCGUGAGAAAGAGACCAUGGGGGAGGUUCGCGGCGGAGAUCAGAGACCCCGUUGAAGAAAGCCAGGGUUUGGUUAGGAGCCUUCUAUUCUGCAGAGGAAGCUGCUCAAGCCUACGACACUGUCGCACGAACUCUCCGGGGUCCCAAGGCCAAAACAAAUUUCCCUUUUUCACACCCUUUCUACAUCGUCUCCUCGUCGUUCCGCCCUCCCUUGCCUUUUGAUCUCAAUGCACCACCAUUCGACGAUGUCGCUGUCGAUGACGAUCUCCGUUGCACCGCGCUUUGCCUCUGAACGUGUUGUGAUGGUUUUCAAUUUCUGAAUUUUUUCACCCUUGAUUUCUUUUUAUUGUUGUGCGAAACAAAUUAUAAUGAUGAUAAGAUGUAAGACUGGCAAUAUGAUCUUAGUUCUGUGAGAGGGAUAUUCCAUGA